GCAGACUUACUCUGUGCCUAACUGCAAACCUCCAGUAAUGGCACUUUUUCAGUCUGCUAUAGAAAAACCAGGAUUGUAUCUAUAUUGCUUUCUGUUUCAGGAAAGUUUUUUUAUGAUCUUGGGAUACACUG